AUUCCAGCUCCAAUAGCGUAUAUUAAUGUUGUUGCAGUUAAAAAGCUCGUAGUUGGAUUUCUGGUGGGAGCGGCCGGUCCGCCGUAAGGUGUGUACUUGGUUGUCUCCUGUCAUCCUUGUGGGAACUGCUCUGGCAUUAAGUUGUCGGGGUUAGGGAACACAUCGUUUACUGUGAAAAAAUUAGAGUGUUUAAAGCAGGCUUAUGCCGUUGAAUACAUUAGCAUGGAAUAAUAAGAUAGGACUUUGGCGUCUAUUUUGUUGGUUUCUAGUACUGAAGUAAUGAUUGAUAGGGAUAGUUGGGGGUGCUAGUAUUGGCCGGCCAGAGGUGAAAUUCUUGGAUUCGGUCAAGACUAACUUAUGCGAAAGCAUUCACCAAGGAUGUCUUCAUUG
rnacentral:rRNA from 1 species